rnacentral:rRNA from 1 species
AAUGAACGCUGGCGGCGCGCCUAAUACAUGCAAGUCGAGCGAGAAGACGUAGCAAUACGUUAGUAAAGCGGCGAACGGGUGAGGAAUACAUGGGUAACCUACCCUCGAGUGGGGAAUAACUAGCCGAAAGGUUAGCUAAUACCGCGUACGCUCCUUGGACUUCGGUUCAGGGAGGAAAGCGAUACCGUGGGUAUCGCGCUCUUGGAUGGGCUCAUGUCCUAUCAGCUUGCNGGUGAGGUAACGGCUCACCAAGGCUUCGACGGGUAGCUGGUCUGAGAGGACGAUCAGCCACACUGGCACUGCGACACGGGCCAGACUCCUACGGGGAGCAGCAGUAAGGAAUAUUGCGCAAUGGGCGAAAGCCUGACGCAGCGACGCCGCGGUGGGGGAUGGAAGGUC